rnacentral:rRNA from 1 species
GACGAAGGGGGUUAGCGUUGUUCGGAAUUACUGGGCGUAAAGCGAGUGUAGGUGGUUGUCCAAGUUGGAUGUGAAAGCCUUGAGCUCAACUCAAGAAAUGCAUUCAGGACUGGGCGGCUAGAGGACCGGAGAGGAUAGUGGAAUUCCCAGUGUAGUGGUGAAAUACGUAGAGAUUGGGAAGAACACCAGUGGCGAAGGCGGCUAUCUGGACGGUUUCUGACACUAAGACUCGAAAGCGUGGGGAGCAAACAGG